UCUACAUACUCUGGUAGGUUCCUUUCUUCCUUCUCUUCUGCGCCAACAUUUGGGAAAAUGGUUCAUCCAUCGAUUUCUGGAGAACAACGUGUUGCAUGCACCUGUUGUUUGGAGUCUUAAAUUUCUCAAAUUGAGUUUCGAAAUGUCUCAAGUGUGCGCUUUAUUUCAUCCUAUUCUGCUGAGAUUUCCUUUCCAAUUGUUUUUCCUAUUGCAUAAUUUUAGCUAGCGAGGUUUUAUUAGUGGGUACAUGGUAGUUCCUUUGUAUUUUUGAAUGAAGAACUUGUUCAAUUUCACAUGCAUCGGGAUAUUCAAUUUACACAUUCAUACAUCAAUGGUGUUUGAUAAUAUGCCUAAAUCAACUAUCUUUUUAAAAAAUAAUCUCUCUAUUGACAGGUGUUCUAUACUAUACUGAUCUAUUUUCCAGCAAUUUCAGAUAUGAAAGGCGAUGUAGUAAAUUGACUCGUCAAAUGAAUAAUUGUCUUUUUUUUGGUAGUAUCAUGUAUGUGUUUGGAAGUUAAGUUGCUCAGCCUCUUGAAAAGUAUUGCCGAACCCUGCACCGCUUUUGAAGGGCCCGAUGACAUUUUAAGAGUCCGAGCAAUAUAGUUUGGAGGUUUCAAAAAGUGGAAAUUGCUCUAGGUGUGAAAAAGAGCACACUACUUCAAUUAUUGGAGGUUAUUUGUUUUCCUCUUUCUUUUAUUAUGGAAAUUUUGAUGGAGUUUUGUUAGUUUUCCAUCUUUAGAUUCUUCUUUUUGCUGGAUAUUCAUCUUGUUGAAAAAAUCAUAUCUAUUAUAAAUAGAACAAUGUGAGAAGGUUAGCUUUAGGAUUGACUUUUUAAUUGUUAUAACUUGAGUCUGAUCAUAUUUUUGGCUGGUCUUACUGAUUUAUGCUUCUUUUGUUAUUUUGUGAAUGUCUUCAUUUCGGAAUGCGCUUUUAUCCAUCUUAUUUGAAAGAAAAACAUCAUGAGUCUUUCAAUCUAAAUUAAUUUGCAAUACCAGCUCCGAAUGAUACUUAUCAUCUGAUGCAAUGACAAUUCUGAAUGAAUUUUCAUUGUACCUUCACCUUCACCUUCUCCAUCUUCACAAUCUUCGAUGACAACAGUAUCGGUUCCAUCAUUAUUGUCGUGGAUUUAUUUGAAAUUAGUUCUAUUUGUUGUUUCUCACUCUUCACCAGCUUACUGUUCUUCCUCUGAUCGGUAAGUCUCUCGAGCCUCUUUCACUUUUUAUACUACUUCGAUCUACUUAUCAGUUAUUCAUUUCACUGUAGUUUCUCGAUUCAACUAAUAUUUCAGUUAACUUUAGUGUUUUUCGUCUCAGAUCUCAAUCAAACAUCAGAUUACAAGAACCAUUCAACAAGAUUCUCUUAAUCUCUUUGAUUCUUAUGAGUCUAUCUCAUUUAUGUAUAUGAAGAGGUGUGAAAAGUGUGAUGAGAGAAAGGGGGACAUAUAUCUGUCGUCCACGUGGCAUUGUCCUUUGGCUUGCUUCCCACAAAUCCAAACCCCCACCUACUUGACGAAGGUUUGUAAAGCUUUUCAAUGGAUAUUCAGAGGACAACAAAGAAAAUGGUAUUCGAUUUUGAAAAUACAGUCAUCUCAUUAAAGGAUUCUUCAAGAUGUCACAUAAUGCUUAUUUACCUCAGAAGAAUCUUCAGAAAAGGGUUGUAUAUUUGUGCAACGAAUGACGCGUAACAAUGAAUCAAGGAUUACCUUGUUUUUCAUUGUUCAUAGUUCUGGGAACUGCUUCGACAAAUUUUAGGAACGAGUUGGGUAACGCCUAGGGGUCUACGAGAUGAGUUUUGUUUGUCGGAAGGUUGUGGAAUGACAGAAACAAAGACGUUUGACGGUCAUGAAAGAGUUUCAUUCUCUAAAACAAAUCAAAGGACAUGAACAAAUUACUUUGGUGACAUACUAUGGCUUUCCGGAGAAGGGCAAUGUGUCCAGAAUUUGGUAAAAGUUAAUUGAACUCAAACUUGACUUUUCUUUUCAGUGUAUACCCUACUGAAACAAUCUAUAAGUUUACAGUUUAUGCCUUUCUGAAAAGUUCAAAAUUAUAACUCUUGUAAUUUGUACCACAACUGGAUAUAUACAAUAUGAAGCAUGUUAUGUAAAUAUUAAGUUAA